rnacentral:snoRNA from 1 species
GUGAUGCUUUAAUAUACCGCCCCAGUCGGAAUUAACAAUGACGAUUGGUUUUAUAUACUGAUA